AACGCUGUCGAGUCACGGCCUUGUGCGUAACGCAGUUUGUUUGCCUUUAAUCAAGAAUUAGCGCAGAGUAUGAGCACUUGCAGCUGACUUGUCGCAGAGGAUUUUUUUUUGCAGGAGCCCACAGUGACGCACCUACUGCUUUCUCAUAGCCAAAAUGGCACUUUGCAGGAAAAAGAAGCAUGAGACACUUUGUAAUGGCCAUGACGGUGUUUAUGGUAGGGCAGUCGCACAAGGCGCUCUGGCUGGCAUUUAAAAACCCGUCAAGUACAGACAGUGUUAAAAUGACUACAGCUCCCUUUUCAAAGAGUCUGCUCAUUUUCCCCUCCCACAGAUUAAUACGGGACACGGGAAUUUUCAGUCUCUUGUGGUUGAAAAGCUGCUUGUGUCUCUGAUGCUACUCACUGUGGUGGUCUCCCGCCUGGCUGGUACAGCAAGCAAGCCCCCCCUGCAACAAGGGAGCUGGCAGCAGAGGGCCCGCUAGCACCCACUGCUACUCUCUUCUGCUCCUUUUGUGGCCUUCUGCAGCUGAGUUUCUGUGAGUCCUUGAGGAUUUGGUAUCUGAUGUUAUAGAGGCUUUGGGGGGGGCUACUACAAACCCUUGCUUAAGCUAACUGUGGUCACUGAGAAGUGAGUACUGACUGAUUUUUAAAAAGCCAUUUUCACCGUAAUAAUGCUUAUAGUGGUUUGUCUAGAAUACUAACAUUUGGAUGAGUGUCUCUGCAGUAACAUCAUUAACACCAUUUAGACUUCCAUGCGCUAACCAGCUCUAAACUGCACUCAAAAUAAGUAGGUUCACUUCACAUGGUAUGUUUGAUCUGGAACACUGUCUAUGGUUUUAUCUGUACUGAAGAAUUAAAUACUAUCAUUUUAAUUUAUUUUAAA